rnacentral:tRNA from 1 species
AGAGAAGUAAUUUAAUAUAAAAUGUCUAUUUUGCAUAUAGAAAUGCUUAAGAAAGAGCGUUCUUUA